UUCUCUGAAAUUGCUUCUCAAAAUACUGACUUUAUGAGUUGCACUAACAAACAAAAACUACAAUACAUACUCAAUCAAUAAAAUUUUCAACAGGUACAAAGUUUAGGCUCGUUUUUAAAACAGUCAAUGGAACUGAGGACAGGGGACUCUUGAUUUACCGAUGGUUAAAAUUUUUGUGGUAUAUUAAUAUGUUGUAAUUUGUAUUUUGAUUUUUCACUAUAUUAUAUACUUGCAACAAUUGAUAUAUACAUAUAUAUUAUAUGUAUGAGUGUAUGUUAGUUUUUUUUUCAGUUUGUCACAAACAUGUUUAAUUUGUUUAUAUGACAAUAAAGAUUAUUAUUAUUUAUUUUAUCAA